rnacentral:rRNA from 1 species
GUUUGAUCCUGGCUCAGAAUCAACGCUGGCGGCGUGCCUCAGACAUGCAAGUCGAACGAUUAAAGCUCCCUUCGGGGAGUGCAUAAAGUGGCGCACGGGUGAGUAACACGUAAGUAAUCUACCCUCGGGUGGGGAAUAACGUUCGGAAACGGACGCUAAUACCGCAUAAUGCAGCGGCACCGCAAGGUGACAGUUGUUAAAGAUUUAUUGCCUGGGGAGGAGCUUGCGGCAGAUUAGCUUGUUGGUAAGGUAACGGCUUACCAAGGCUACGAUCUGUAUCCGGUCUAAGAGGACGGUCGGACACACUGACACUGAAUAACGGGUCAGACUCCUACGGGAGGCAGCAGUCGGGAAUUUUGGGCAAUGGGGGAAACCCUGACCCAGCAACGCCGCGUGAAGGAUGAAGUAUUUCGGUAUGUAAACUUCGAAAGAAUAGGAAGAAUUAAUGACGGUACUAUUUAUAAGGUCCGGCUAACUACGUGCCAGCAGCCGCGGUAAUACGUAGGGACCAAGCGUUGUUCGGAUUUACUGGGCGUAAAGGGCGCGUAGGCGGCGCGGUAAGUCACUUGUGAAAUCUCUGAGCUUAACUCAGAACGGCCAAGUGAUACUGCAGUGCUAGAGUGUGGAAGGGGCAAUCGGAAUUCUUGGUGUAGCGGUGAAAUGCGUAGAUAUCAAGAGGAACACCUGAGGUGAAGACGGGUUGCUGGGCCAACACUGACGCUGAGGCGCGAAAGCCAGGGGAGCAACGGGAUUAGAUACCCCGGUAGUCCUGGCCCUAAACGAUGAAUACUUGGUGUCUGGAGUUUUAAUACUCCGGGUGCCGUCGCUAACGUUUUUAGUAUUCCGCCUGGGGAGUACGCUCGCAAGAGUGAACUCAAGGGAAUUGACGGGACCCGCACAAGCGGUGGAGCAUGUUGUUUAAUUCGACGCAACGC